GACUAGCUGAAUCAGCAAAGCAAGUUGCUAAGUGCUAACCACUAGCUGAAUCAGCAAUACAAGCCUUGGAUCUCUCUCCUAAAACUGAGGACUUAUAGAGACUCUUAAGUAUCCCAUUAGCGAUUGUGUUUUUGUCGCUCCAAGCAUAUAAACCGGUGUGAAAGAAAUAACCAACUACUAUUAGCGAUUGCGUUUUUGUAGCUCCAAGCAUAUAAGAAUGUUUGCUUAUUUCCUGCAACUAAUACAUAAUCCAAUUGAUACUUUUAGGUAUGAUCGUAGAACUGUGACCUUGUGGGGUGAGCUAGCUGAAAAAUGGGGAAAUACUACAAAAACUGAUAGAUACAAAACCUGUCGUAGCAUUUUGUGACGUGAAAUCGACGUAUCAAGGUAAUAUAUUUUUUUUUUUUUACAUUCAUAAUUAAUUCUUUAUUAAUUACAUCUAUACUAAACUUUAUUUUGUGUGUUGUGAGGAUAUCUACCACUCAUAUUAAUAGUGUGUUGAUCAACCCAGCAUUUCAAAAAGCAAAUGAGCUGCAAAAUUGGCAAUAUAUGAUAUUAUUUGUUCACCCAAAAUGUUACUACUUACAGUUUAGUUAUAAAAUACUUGAUAAUCCAAUAAAUUUCAUACUUCAUUACAGGCAUCAUUGUUUGAAAGCGCAAAAUAAAGAUAUUACGUUAAUGCUAACUAAGAUGAUUAGAGAAGCCAAAGAAGUGAAGAUCAAAGAUAUCAUAUAUGGCUCAUAUGCAACUAUGAAGGUAAAUUUUGUACAAUAUUUCAGAAUGAUAUACUCUUUUUGGAUGGGUUAUAUCUAAUAAAAUAAAUAUGUAGGAUUUAUAUUGUAGAUUUAAUGCACGAGUAACAACAAUUAUAGACAAAGAUGAGCCAUGGUAUUCUUCUUGCAAGAAAUGCUAUAAGAAAGUCAAUAUUGAAAAUAAAAUUGCAAAUUGUAGCAAUUGUAGGUCAGAAAGCGUUGAUUACGAGGAAAGAUAUCGUUUAAAAAUUGAUGUGUUUGCCAUUGCAAACGACAUAGCAAUGUUACACUUUUUGACGCUGUAAGAUACUUGCUAGGUUGUGAUGUUAACGAAUACAUCCAAUCAAUCUCUAAAAAGAAAGAAGAAUCAGAGUUUUACCAGAAGAUGAUCUUGAGUAAAAAUAAAGAAUUUAUUUUUUUGGUUAAAU